ACAAACCCUGCUCCUGGUCACGGUUUCGCCUUCCUCGUCGUCCCAAGUAACCAACAUGCCGGUUCCGGUUUAGGCUUCCUAAGUCUCGUGAACCGAACCAGUAACGGUAAUCCAAGUAACCAUCUCUUUGCUGUUGAAUUCGAUGUGUUUCAGGACAAGUCUUUUAAAGACAUCAACGAUAACCAUGUCGGAAUCGACAUUAAUUCGGUCGACUCGGUGACUUCGGUUAAAUCCGGUUAUUGGGUUAUGACAAGAAACGGUUGGUUGUUCAAAGAUUUGAAGUUGAAUAGUGGAGAUAAGUACACGGCUUGGAUCGAGUACAACAACAAUUUAAAAGUGAUCUCGGUUACGAUCGGGUUCGCGCAUUUGAAGAAACCGAACCGACCUUUGAUUGAAGCGAAGUACGAUCUCUCUAAUGUGCUGCUCGAGAAGAUGUACGCCGGUUUUGCCGGUUCAAUGGGCCGUGGUGUUGAGCGUCACGAGAUCUGGGACUGGACUUUCCAGAAUUAAUAAACCGGAUUUAUUCGAUUUGAGAUCGGUUUAAAUCGGUUUUGCUUGGUUUGUUUUUGUUUUGUUUUGAUAGCUUCGGUUAGUGGCUCCCGCUAAUAAUUGAAGUGAAUAAAUGCUCAAGGUGUCGGUUUCUAAAUUUCAAAAAUGAAUACAACAUUCUACCUAAUGGCUAAUACCAAAGACUUGAAAUACCAAAAUCAAAAUCAAAAUCAAAAUUUGUAUUUCUUUUUGUAUACAACCCACUUCGGUAGAACCUAAAAGAACGAACCCAAUACGAAUCCAUUAAUAAUAAACCGGGUUUACUCGGUUCAAAUCGCUUAUCGUUUGGUUUGCUUAUGUUUUGAUAGCUUCUGUAAGUGUGGCUCCCGCUACUAGUUGAAGUGAAUAAAUGCUCAAGUUAUCAAGUUUUCAGACUUCAAAAACAAAAAAUACUACGACACUCUACCUAAUACCAAAGACAUUUUUGUUUUUGAAACACACCAAAGACUUAAAAAACCAAAAAAAAAUCGAAAAUUUAGUUUCUUGUUGUACUGAUGUUAAGUGUAUUAUAAUACAAACACACAUGGGUAGAACUUAAAAGAAAAACCAAUAAGAAUAGGUUUUCUCGAAAAAGCCCCAUUAAAUACGUUAAUGUGUUUGGAAUUUCAUCCAGUUAAUUUAGAGUCGGUUUAUACAACUUUAAAAAAGAAAAAAAUUAGAGUAAACUUAAUCUUUAUUUUAUUUUCAAGCUGAUCAAAUGUAAAUAAAAAAUAGAGUAAUACAAUAAAAAUAUUCUUAAUUUUUUUGACCGAACUCCAUUUUAUACUAUAAAUUUUAUUUUGGAAUAAAGUUCCUUAACCAUAUCCAUUUUUUAAUUUCUUAAUCAUAUCUAUUUUUCUUAAAUUUUAAAAUAAAGUAAAAAGUGAAAUUAUUUUUAAAUGAAACAAUUGUAUGUAUUUCAGUAUUUCUCUGUAUUUACUCCUUACUUUAUUUUAGAAUAAAAAGUAAAGUAGUUAAAGUAAAAAUGUAAAGUAGUUAAACUAGAAUUUAAUCAUCAACCCAAUCAUAUUCAAACCUCCCAACAACGCUUCUUCUGUUUACCCUUUCAAGACCUCUUUCACUUUCUCCAUCACUCCACACAACACAAACCCUGCUCCUGGUCACGGUUUCGCCUUCCUCGUCGUCCCAAGUAACCAACAUGCCGGUUCCGGUUUAGGCUUCCUAAGUCUCGUGAACCGAACCAGUAACGGUAAUCCAAGUAACCACCUCUUUGCUGUUGAGUUCGAUGUGUUUCAGGACAAGUCUUUUAAAGACAUCAACGAUAACCAUGUCGGAAUCGACAUUAAUUCGGUCGACUCGGUGACUUCGGUUAAAUCCGGUUAUUGGGUUA
rnacentral:lncRNA from 1 species